rnacentral:lncRNA from 10 species
AUAUGAGAUACCUUAUGUAAGAGGGGCUGGUGCAUUGUGGAAGUCAACAAGUAAGUUUUGUUAAAUUUGAGUAAGAAGACCUGUUUGUUUCCUCAAGUUGCUUAUAAUCUAGGUGAGGACACAUCUGAGAGAAUAACUAAUAGUUCAGUGAAGAUUAGAUGGGUGUUACUGAUUCUUACCUCAGAGAAGAGAAUGUCAUGGAGACAAAAUGACCUGCUUAGAGUUCUGCACCCCCCAGCAUGGAGAGCAGAGCGCAAAGAUUUCUUCCGGACUCCCACAUUCCCCUUGGAAUCCAAGAACUGGUCUACUGUCACAACACUUUAGUACCCUCUUCUCCCAAGGAGGCAGCAGAAACUGGGGUAAUCACAACGGUCAACAGC